rnacentral:rRNA from 1 species
GGUUAAGUUACAAAGGGCAUGCGGUGGAUGCCUUGGCACCAAAAGGCGAUGAAGGACGUGGUUACCUGCGAAAAGCGUCGGCGAGGCGGAAGCAGCCUGUGACCCGGCGAUGUCCGAAUGGGGCAACCCACUCCGAGUCAUGUCGGAGUAUGCACUGCUGAAUUCAUAGGCAGUGACAAGCCAACGGGGAGAAGUGAAACAUCUCAGUAACCCCAGGAAGAGAAGACAAUAGUGAUUUCCCGAGUAGCGGCGAGCGAAACGGAAACAGCCUAAACCUUCUGAUAUGUUCAAGGGAGCGACCGUUGUAUCAGGGGUGUUGUGGGACCAUCAGGCCGAAGCGCUACUAGGCCAGGGAGUUACAAAUUGCAUUGCUAGCUGAAGCUUCUGGAAAGCUGUGCCACAGAGGGUGACAGUCCCGUAAGCGAAAGCGAUGCAACUCCCGAGGGGAUCCCAAGUACCGCGGAGCAAGUGGAAGUCUGCGGGAAUCCGCCAGAACCAUCUGGCAAGGCUAAAUACUCUUUGGUGACCGAUAGUGAACAAGUACCGUGAGGGAAAGGUGAAAAGCACUCCUAACAGGAGGGUGAAAUAGUACCUGAAACCGCAUGCUUACAAACGGUCGGAGCGAGUUUCGUUCCUUCGGGAGCGAAAUAAGUGACGGCGUGCCUUUUGCUUAAUGAGCCUACGAGUUGCUGGUACGUUGCAAGGUUAAAGGUCUCAGACCUGUAGCCGGAGCGAAAGCGAGUCCUAAUCGGGCGACUCAGUAACGUGCCGCAGACGCGAACCCGUGUGAUCUACCCUUGGCCAGGGUGAAGUGGGGGUAACACCUCAUGGAGGCCCGAACUGAUGUGGGUUGAAAACCGCUCGGAUGAGCUGAGGGUAGGAGCGAAAGACCAAUCAAACUCGGAGAUAGCUCGUACUCCCCGAAAUAGCUUUAGGGCUAGCCUCGUAACAUACUGUCACGGAGGUAGAGCACUGAUUGGGCUAGGGUCGUCACAACGAUACCAAACCCAGACAAACUCCGAAUGCCGUUGACAGCUUUUACGGGAGUCAGGCGACGAGGGAUAAGCUUCGACGCCGAGAGGGGAAUAACCCAGACCGCCAGCUAAGGUCCCCAAAUUCGGGUUAACAGAGAAAGGAUGUUGGGUUGCUGUGACAACCAGGAUGUUGGCUUAGAAGCAGCCAUUCAUUUAAAGAGUGCGUAAUAGCUCACUGGUCAAGCGACCCGGCGCCGAUAAUACUCGGGACUAAACCCGGUACCGAAGCUGCGGAUGUUCCCGCGCAAGCGGGAGCGUGGUAGGGGAGCAUUCCAUCGACUGCGAAGGUGUCCCGCGAGGGAUGCUGGAGUUGAUGGAAACGCAGAUGUAGGCAUAAGUAGCGAUAAGACAGAUGGAAAAUCUGUCCACCGAAAAUCUAAGGUUUCCUGAGCAACGUUAAUCGUCUCAGGGUUAGUCGGGACCUAAGUCGAGGCCGAAAGGCGUAGACGAUGGCAAACAGGUUCAAUAUUCCUGUACCACUGUACAGUCGUUUGACCAUAAGGGGUGACGCAGAAGUGAAGUCGGGCCACCUGUUGGAUUAGGUGGUUUAAGCCUGUAGGCGUGGGAGGCCGGCAAAUCCGCUUCCCAGCUAUCGCCGAGAGGUGAAUAGGGUGCCCGUAAGGGCCACAACUCGACGUAAUCAUGCUGCCAAGAAAAACCUCGUAUGGGAGACUGUGCGGUGCCCGUACCGCAAACCGACACAGGUAGAUGGGAAGAAUAUUCUAAGGUGCUCGAGUGAGCCGUGGUUAAGGAACUCGGCAAAUUGACCCCGUAACUUCGGGAUAAGGGGUGUCUCGACUGGUGAAGGCCUGCGCCGGAGCUGGUCGGGACCGCAGUGAAAUGGGCCAAGCGACUGUUUAACAAAAACACAUGUCUCUGCUAAGCCGUGAAGGCGACGUAUAGGGACUGACACCUGCCCGGUGCCGGAAGGUUAAGGAAGGAGGUUAGUCCCGACUUGUCGGGACGAAGCUUCCGACCGAAGCCCCGGUAAACGGCGGCCGUAACUAUAACGGUCCUAAGGUAGCGAAAUUCCUUGUCGGGUAAGUUCCGACCUGCACGAAUGGUGUAACGACUUGGUCACUGUCUCAACCACGGGCUCGGCGAAAUUGUGGUACCGGUGAAGACGCCGGUUACCCGCACAUGGACGGAAAGACCCCGUGCACCUUUACUGCACCCUAGCAUUGGGUUCGGUCAAAACUUGUGUAGCAUAGGUGGGAGGCGAUGAAGUCGGGGCGCUAGCCUCGGCAGAGCCGUCAGUGAAAUACCACCCUUGUUCUGAUUGAAUUCUAACCUACUGCCCUCAUCGGGUGGAGGGACAGUGUUAGGCGGGUAGUUUGACUGGGGCGGUCGCCUCCUAAAAAGUAACGGAGGCUCUCAAAGGUUCCCUCAGCAUGGUUGGUAAUCAUGCGUCGAGAGUAAAGUCAUAAGGGAGCUUAACUGCGAGACCUACAAGUCGAGCAGAUGCGAAAGCAGGACUUAGUGAUCCGUUGGUUCCGAGUGGAAGGGCCAACGCUCAAAGGAUAAAAGGUACGCCGGGGAUAACAGGCUGAUCUAGCCCAAGAGUUCAUAUCGACGGCUAGGUUUGGCACCUCGAUGUCGGUUCAUCGCAUCCUGGGGCUGGAGAAGGUCCCAAGGGUUUGGCUGUUCGCCAAUUAAAGCGGUACGUGAACUGGGUUCAGAACGUCGUGAGACAGUUCGGUCCCUAUCCUGUGCGGGCGGAGGAAACUUGAGGGGUCUCGCUCCUAGUACGAGAGGACCAGAGUGAACGGACCGACGGUGUACGAGUUGUCACGCCAGUGGCAUUGCUCGGUAGCCAUGUCCGGAUGGGAUAAGCACUGAAAGCAUCUAAGUGCGAAACCCGCCCCAAGAUGAGGUUUCCCGUCCCUUCGGGGACUAAGAUCCCAAGGAGAUGACUUGGUUGAUAGGCCGCAGAUGUAAACGCAGCAAUGCGUGAGUCGAGCGGUACUAAUAGAUCGAGAGGCUUAACCAU